UUAUUUAAUACUACGCAUAUAUACGUCUUACAUAUAAAUAUAUAUAACUUACACACUCACAGCGCCUGGUCUCGCACUCUGCGUAAUAAUCACAACAAGCCGAUUCUUUCUGCGAGUCUUGUCUCGACUUGUCGAGAAAUUCUACGAGUAUGUGUAUACGUGUACAUGAACGUGACGUCAUCAAUGUAUGAAUUUCCGUGGAACUUUUUAGGUAGAUUUUUAUAGAAAUCUAACUAUUGUAGCCGGUCUCAUGUUGUCAUUUUAGGAAAAUUUUAUCAUAAUAUGUUUGGCAUUGGCUCAAAAGUUUAUAUAUGUAUUUAUGUAUGCAUAUAACGCGCGAUGUCAGCAGGAUUGCGUCCAUAGUUCUCAACCGAUCUUUAUGAAAUUUUGUGGGCUUAUUCUGUGGAUCAAUACCAAGAUCAAGUUCGAAGAUGAGCAAAAUCGGCUGGUUAGUUUACGAGUUGUGGGAGUUUGAAAAUUUUUUUCAUUUUCAAAAAAUUUUGAAUUUUGUAUUUUUUAUGAAAAUAAUCUUCUAGAUGUAAAAGAUAGAUAAAGUCUAUCAAAUUUAU
rnacentral:lncRNA from 1 species